rnacentral:rRNA from 1 species
UGCAGUCGAACGCGAUUGGUCUUCGGAUCAAUCGAGUGGCGAACGGGUGAGUAACACGUAGGUAACGUACCCCAUGGCGGGGGAUAACCCAGGGAAACCUGGGCUAAUACCGCAUAUGGUGCAAGGGUCAUAAGGCCUAUGCAUCAAAGCCUUCGGGCAUCAUGGGAGCGGCCUGCGGCCCAUUAUUUAAUCCUAGUUGGUGGGGUAAUGGCCUACCAAGGGUACGAUGGGUAGCUGGUCUGAGAGGAUGAUCAGCCACACUGGGACUGAGACACGGCCCAGACUCCUACGGGAGGCAGCAGUGGAGAAUCUUGCGCAAUGGGCGAAAGCCUGACGCAGCCACGCCGCGUGUGUGAUGAAGGCCUUCGGGUCGUAAAGCACUGUCGGGAGGGACGAAAGCUUCGGCUUGACGGUACCUCGCAAGAAAGCACCGGCUAACUCCGUGCCAGCAGCCGCGGUAAUACGGAGGGUGCAAGCGUUGCUCGGAUUUACUGGGCGUAAAGCGAGCGCAGGCGGCUAUUCAAGUCGGGUGUGAAAGCCCGGGGCUCAACCCCGGAGGUGCAUCCGAAACUGGAUAGCUUGAGUACGGUAGAGGGAAGCGGAAUUCCAGGUGUA